UCAGAAAGAAAGUACUUAACUCCACCACCAGCACCCAAAGCUGGCAUUCUAAUUUAAACUACUUCCUG
rnacentral:tRNA from 1 species